rnacentral:lncRNA from 1 species
CAUAGACAAUUAAUCUUGUUGACAUACUGGUUCCCAGUAAUGCCCUCUGUGUUCCAUCUCACAGAGACAUAACUUGGCAAUGUUACCAGUAAAUAAACAUGUGCAUGUUGUUUACAUUGAAAUCUGUGGUAACCUUUCAUUCGAGAUAGGGGUAGUUAAGAAAGUUAGUGUUAGUUUAAACUCUGAGAAGUUCAGGGCAUAUAAACGUUGAAAAUAUGCCGCACAGCCCUAUAUUUUGACCUUUGAAAAAAAUUGUGGUGUAUAUGAACAUUCAAUUCUAGGAUAAGAUUUUUUUAAAAACAUCAUAGUAAAAGUGGUACAGUUUUAGCCGUAAAAGG